rnacentral:lncRNA from 1 species
UAAAUACAUUGUAUUCCAAAAUUCUACUAUGCAGACCAAAGGAAAAUAUUUGUUUGCAGCAAUACAAAUAUUUUAUCAAAUUUUUCCACAUAAAGUAACAUACUUUGUUCAUGUUCAAAUAUUAUAUGAACAUGAUAAUGCAACUAGACAACAAUAUAAAAAACAAAAAUCUGGGCAAACAGGUAUAAGAGCAAACUAACCCUGGUUCUGAAAUUACCAAAAAAAAAAGCAGGUUUAACGCUGAACUGCUAAUUCUACAGGCCCGCAGCUCAAUUUUUGAAAAUUUUUAGUUAGAUUCUGUUGGUCUGUAGGUCUGAUUUUUACAGGCCGGAGAGCAAUUUUACCUGCCUGGGCUGCCACUCGGCGUGAAAACUGCAAAGGAAUUUGCUUUACUAUAAAAGUUAACAUGCAUCUUUUUGAUAAAUUAACUCAAAUAAUUCAUUUG